rnacentral:rRNA from 1 species
AACGAACGCUGGCGGCAGGCCUAACACAUGCAAGUCGAACGGGACCUUCGGGUCUAGUGGCGGACGGGUGAGUAACGCGUGGGAACGUGCCCUUUGGUUCGGAAUAGCCUCGGGAAACUGGGAGUAAUACCGGAUACGGUCGAGAGACGAAAGAUUUAUCGCCGAAGGAUCGGCCCGCGUUGGAUUAGGUAGUUGGUGGGGUAAAGGCCUACCAAGCCGACGAUCCAUAGCUGGUUUGAGAGGAUGAUCAGCCACACUGGGACUGAGACACGGCCCAGACUCCUACGGGAGGCAGCAGUGGGGAAUAUUGGACAAUGGGCGAAAGACCUGAUCCAGCAAUGCCGCGUGAGUGAUGAAGGCCUUAGGGUUGUAAAGCUCUUUACCCGGGUAUGUAUAAUGACAGUACCGGGAGAAU